rnacentral:lncRNA from 1 species
GGAGACAUUCCAGAUCCACACUGUAAGAGGUUGUUUUAUUCAAGUUUUAAAAAUUCCUCAACCACAUACUGAUUUGGACACUGAAAGGCAUGAGCUGCCCAGGUUCUGGGAAUCAAAUAAGGAUACUUGGCUCAUCAGAGUCACAGAGACGCAGGCUGACAGAGACUCAAAUUUCACUUAUGCACAAUGGUUCCCUUAGGAUGCGGAGGAGACCCAUUCACUGGAGAGAGUGG